ensembl:snRNA
GUGUUGUAUGAAAGGAGAAAAGAUUAGCACUCCCCUUGAUAAGGAUAGAAAAGGUCCUAGUGGCCUUUACAACAUAUAUACAGUUAGGGCAUUGCUGCCUACUCUGUGCCAAGAAUAAGGUCUGUUU